rnacentral:rRNA from 1 species
GAUGAACGCUAGCGGCAGGCCUAAUACAUGCAAGUCGAACGGCCCCGACACUUCGGUGUCGGGGUAGUGGCGCACGGGUGCGUAACGCGUACACAACAUACCCUUUACAGGGGGAUAGCGGCGGGAAACUGCCAGUAAUACCCCAUGUCCUUGCGAGGUGGCAUCAUUUUGCAAAGAAAGUUCAAGCGGUAAAGGAUUGGUGUGCGUCCGAUUAGCUAGUUGGCGGGGUAACGGCCCACCAAGGCGACGAUCGGUAGGGGGUGUGAGAGCAUGGCCCCCCACACGGGUACGUGAGACACGGACCCGA